rnacentral:rRNA from 1 species
UACGUAGGGGGCCAGCGUUGUCCGGAUUCAUUGGGCGUAAAGCGCGUGGUAGGCGGCCAGGUAGGUCCGAUGUGAAAUCUGGAGGCUCAACCUCCAGCGGUCAUUGGAAACCAUCUGGCUAGAGUCCGGAAGAGGAGAGUGGAAUUCCUGGUGUAGCGGUGAAAUGCGCAGAUAUCAGGAAGAACACCAAUGGCGAAGGCAGCUCUCUGGGACGGUACUGACGCUGAGGUGCGAAAGCGUGGGGAGCAAACAGG